rnacentral:rRNA from 1 species
UGGGGAAUCUUGGACAAUGGGGGCAACCCUGAUCCAGCCAUGCCGCGUGAGUGAUGAAGGCCUUAGGGUCGUAAAGCUCUUUCGCCUGUGAAGAUAAUGACGGUAGCAGGUAAAGAAACCCCGGCUAACUCCGUGCCAGCAGCCGCGGUAAUACGGAGGGGGUUAGCGUUGUUCGGAAUUACUGGGCGUAAAGCGCACGUAGGCGGACCAGAAAGUUGGGGGUGAAAUCCCGGGGGCUCAACCCCGGAACUGCCUCCAAAACUAUUGGUCUAGAGUUCGAGAGAGGUGAGUGGAAUUCCAAGUGUAGAGGUGAAAUUCGUAGAUAUUUGGAGGAACACCAGUGGCGAAGGCGGCUCACUGGCUCGAUACUGACGCUGAGGUGCGAAAGUGUGGGGAGCAAACAGGAUUAGAUACCCUGGUAGUUCACACCGUAAAACGAUGAAUGCCAGUCGUCGGGUAGCAUGCUAUUCGGUGACACACCUAACGGAUUAAGCAUUCCGCCUGGGGAGUACGGUCGCAAGAUUAAAACUCAAAGGAAUUG